rnacentral:rRNA from 2 species
UUGGGAACACUGAUAAACCCAGAGGCGAAAUGAAAGUGAAAGGCCGGCCUCGAGCCGGUCGCAGGGAAGAUGCGCGGGCGUCGUCAGACGCCCCGCCGCAUUCCCGAGGCGUUUCGAGAAAGCCCCCGUGCGAUUAUCGAGACGCACUGAGAGCGUACACGCUGGGACCCGAAAGAUGGUGAACUAUGCCUGGUCAGGUCGAAGUCAGGGGAAACCCUGAUGGAGGACCGAAGCGAUUCUGACGUGCAAAUCGAUCGUCCGAACUGGGUAUAGGGGCGAAAGACUAAUCGAACUAUCUAAUAGCUGGUUCCAUCCGAAGUUUCCCUCAGGAUAGCUGGCGCUCGAGAAACAUGACGGUUUUCGGACCGCCAUUCGCACAGUCUCAUCCGGUAAAGCGAAUGAUUAGAGGCAUUGGGGCCGAAAUGGCCUCAACCUAUUCUCAAACUUUAAAUGGGUGAGAUCUCCUUCUUGCUCGAAGAUGAAGUAGGAGCUCGGAUGGGAGUGCCAAGUGGGCCAAUUUUGGUAAGCAGAACUGGCGCUGUGGGAUGAACCAAACGUCGAGUUAAGGCGCCCAAUGAACGCUCAUCGGAUACCAUAAAAGGCGUUGGUCGCUCAGGACAGCAGGACGGUGGCCAUGGAAGUCGGA